GCUUAAUGCGGCAGUAUGUGCUUCACCUGCAGGGGCGCUUGGGCCAUGGGGUGUGCUGAAGGGCUUGAAAGCAACCUGUUAUCCAUCAUUUAUGGAGCAAUUAGCUCCUACUGCAACUGCUGUUGAAUCAAGAGUGCAAGUGGAUGGCAGAGUUGUAACAAGUUGGGGACCUGGCACUACCAUGGAGUUUGCUGUUGCAUUGGUUGAGCAAUUGUAUGGGGAAGAGGAAGCUAAAGAAGUUUCUGUGCCAUUGGUUAUGCGUUCCAACAAUGGGGAUGAAUAUGCC